GGAAUAUUGGACAAUGGGCGCAAGCCUGAGCCAGCCAUGCCGCGUGGGUGAAGAAGGCCUUAGGGUUGUAAACCCCUUUCAGCGGGGAAGAUAAUGACGGUACCCGCAGAAGAAGUCCCGGCUCACUCCGUGCCAGCAGCCGCGGUAAUACGGAGGGGACUAGCGUUGUUCGGAAUUACUGGGCGUAAAGCGCACGUAGGCGGAUUCGUAAGUCAGGGGUGAAAUCCCGAGGCUCAACCUCGGAACUGCCUUUGAUACUGCGAAUCUCGAGUCCGGAAGAGGUGAGUGGAAUUCCUAGUGUAGAGGUGAAAUUCGUAGAUAUUCGGAAGAACACCAGUGGCGAAGGCGACUCGCUGGACAAGUAUUGACGCUGAGGUGCGAAAGCGUGGGGAGCAAA
rnacentral:rRNA from 1 species